UCACAACGGAAUUAAAAGGGAAUCGGGUGUAAAUCCCGGACAGUUCCCGCUGCUGUAAGUUCCUACCCUUAUUUUUAGGGUAAAAAUACUUUAACAAUUUGUGCCACUGACUUUGUAAGUCGGGAAGGCGUUAAAGUAGGAAUAAGUCAGAAGACCUGCCUUUGCAUAUU
rnacentral:ncRNA from 1 species